rnacentral:rRNA from 1 species
CCUACGGGUGGCAGCAGUGGGGAAUAUUGCGCAAUGGGCGCAAGCCUGAUGCAGCCAUGCCGCGUGUGUGAAGAAGGCCUUCGGGUUGUAAAGCACUUUCAGCGGGGAGGAAGGCGUUAAGGUUAAUAACCUUGGCGAUUGACGUUACCCGCAGAAGAAGCACCGGCUAACUCCGUGCCAGCAGCCGCGGUAAUACGGAGGGUGCAAGCGUUAAUCGGAAUUACUGGGCGUAAAGCGCACGCAGGCGGUCUGUCAAGUCGGAUGUGAAAUCCCCGGGCUCAACCUGGGAACUGCAUUCGAAACUGGCAGGCUAGAGUCUUGUAGAGGGGGGUAGAAUUCCAGGUGUAGCGGUGAAAUGCGUAGAGAUCUGGAGGAAUACCGGUGGCGAAGGCGGCCCCCUGGACAAAGACUGACGCUCAGGUGCGAAAGCGUGGGGAGCAAACAGGAUUAGAUACCCUAGUAGUC